GCCAGGCGUGGUGGCGUGCGCCUGUAGUCCCAGCUACUUGGGAGGCUGAGGCAGGAGAAUUGCUUGAACCCGGGAGGCAGAGGUUGCAGUGAGCUAAGAUCAUGCCACUGCACUCCAUCCUGGGAGACAGAGUGAGACUCUGUCUCAA
rnacentral:SRP_RNA from 1 species